ACCCACAUACAUAAAAUAAAAAACAAUAGAAAAAUGUCCCCCAUAGGCGCCUGUAUUUGGACAUCGGUCCUUGGUUGGUGGGGCUGUUUGAGGACAUUGUGGGAGUUUUAGGAGGUGGAUGGACACCUUGUUGGAGGAAGGAUGACACUGGAGGUGGGCUCCAAGAGUUCAUAGAUUCACCCCACUUUCCCUCUAUCACUUAUAUUUUGAGACAGGGUCUCGCUAAAGGGAGAGCUGAUUCGUUGUCUGGGUUGGCUGGCCAGUGAGCUGUGGGGCUCGUCUCAUCACGCAGAUCAGUGCCUUGCUCAGCCAUCACCAGAGAAGCUUCCUCCUGCAGCAGAUGGGAACAAAUACAGAGACCAGAGCUGGACAAUGUGCGGAGAGCGAGAGGCCAUGGAACACAGAAUCCUGAAUAGGAUGUCUCUGUCGAGCCUCCCUCCUCAGGGCUCAGGGAGCUUUCCUGAAGUGGAGGCAGAACAAUUGUUGGGAUAGAAGACACCAAGGCCACAAUGCCUUCUAGAUACAACAGGACGGAUGACCCGUGAACUCACAGACUAUGGCAGUGUGCACAGAGACUGCACAGGUCCAAGCCAGAUGGGGUCCCAGCACUGAGAACUGGACAGGAGCAUCCAUCCCUAGCCAAGAAGCUGUCUCACACUGAUAACGGCUAGCAAAGGAAAAAUUAGCUGUCUACAACAGAGCCUUACUGGACAUCUAAGCUACACUUAAGGACAGGCUCCAUGCUCAGCAGUAGGCGGCCAACUCAAAAUGAGCUCAACAGUAUUUGGGAGAUGUUUUUCACCUUACUGGCCUUUUGCUUCUGUGUUAUGGUUUCUGAUUUUGUGUUUUUAUGGGUUUUCUCUGUGGGCGUGUGUCUCUGCCUGUGUGUGUUUCUCGUGUUCUUUCUUUUCUUUCCUUUUUUUCUUUUCUGUUUGUUUUAUUCUAUUCUUGUUUGUUUGCCUAAAGAGAGAGAAAGAAGGCACGGAUUUGGAUGGGUUGGGAGGUGUGGAGAGGAUCUGGGAGGAGAUGGAGAGGGAAAAUCAUGAUCAGAACAUAUUGUGUGAUUAAAAAACUUAUUUUCAAUAGAAAUUAAUUGAUUCAUUAGUUCAUUAAAAAACGCAUGCUAUGUUCUUUUGAGACAUGCUGCAAUGUGUUUCUUGCACAGGACAUUGUAGGGCUUGCUGGGGAAUGGGGAAGGAUGGCCUGCCCUGUGGUCUCUGGCUGUUGAACAGGCACACAGCGUGAUUCUCAUUCAGUCCUCAUCUGUCCUCCGAGGUGGACUCAUUCUUCCUGAGGUGUGGUGCCCAGUCAGCUUCCAGGUAUGAGCAGUGAUCUAAAGCACAGGAACAGAGGGCAUGAAGGUGCCUCUGGUCAGUGCAGGAUGAUUGAGUGUUGGUCAGUCACCAUGGAUACAGAGAUUCCACAGUGCCUGACAAGCAAUGGGACAACAGCAGCAGCAGCAGCAACAACAACAACAACAAAAAGCUACCAAGGCUAAAUUCAUGGUCAAAACAUCACCCUUUGCUGGAGAUAAGGGCAGACAGACAUUGCUCUGGAGUACUUUGUCAGUAACACUGUUUAUGGACAAGUCCUGCUGGAUGCCACUUGAGUCCUUGGAUGUUACUCCCAUCCCACCAUUUUGCACAAUUGCUACAGAGCCUCUCCGGACAUGCAGAAGGAACUUCAGGAUAAGUACCAUGUCCAGGAGGGUGGUGGCUCUUAGGAGCUGGUCAAAUUGGAUCAUGGUUAUUGCUGUUGCCCCUUCUUGAAAUGUGUGCACAUGGUAAAAACGGGGCUGCAGGCAGAGCCCUGGGGAAGAGCAGCAGAAGCUCACGCACUGCCUGGAAGCUGUGUGUGUACCAGCCUUCGGGGAGGUCCGGAGGACAGGAGAGGGAAAUGUAGCACGUGUUAGAGAAAGGUUCCCGCCCACUGGCUGAUUCCUGAGCCAGCUUGGCCUGAAGUACGGGAAGCCACACCCCUGAGCCAAUAGAAGAGCAGUUUUAACUUAUUUCUCUGGAUCUUCUGCCCAGCAUCGUCUCUGGAAACUUAACCACGCCACCCUGUUCAUUUUCCUCCCUGUCUCCUCUGGAGCUGCACAGGGGUUCACAGUAGAGAAGGCUGAGGUCAGUGGACAGAGCCUUCAGCGUAGAGGGAGCAGCAAGAACCUGCGUGGCCUUUUGUCGUCUCAUCGGCUGUCUUGGAGCAAUGGCUACUGCUUCAGUUUUGUUUGUUUGUUUGUUUGUUUGUUUGUUUUUGUUCUGGUAUUGGAUGGUCACAGUAGGUGGUUUGGGGGCCAACUGUACCCUAGAUUGCACACGGACCCCUGUGCCUUGGCAAAUGGAGACAUAAUUGAGUGAAAAACAAUUUCAAAAACCGACUCUGUUAUCCAUCAGGUAAUAUCUGAUCUUCUAGAAACUUCUGUAGUGUCCCUUCUUCCAAAAAAAGAUGAACGGCAUUUCUCCCUCUUCCCCUGCCCUUCCCCUCCUCCUCUCCCUCUCUCUACCUCUCCCCCCUCUCUCUCCUGCUCCUCCCCUGAUCCUAAUACUCUGGACGAAGUGGAGAGUCAAAAGCAACAGAGUGAGAGGAGAGGAAAGCGGCAGGGGCGGAGAGAAGCAGAUAAUGAAACAAGAUCGAAGACUUUUGAAGUAAGUCACACAGGGAAACAUAUAGGUGCAGUCUUAGGACCUUGACAAAAGAAUCUACUUGAAUAAUCAGUUCCUGAUGCCAAACACACUAUCUCCAGCUCCAAGGACCACUCAGCCAUUCCUGCACAGGCGGCUGCUGGUCUGAUUUCUCCCACACUGUCUACUUUUGUCUUUCUGAGGAUCUGUCAUGGUUUUGCACCUGUCUUUGCACCCAUGUUGCUUUGUGUACAAAGUAAAUGGCUCUUGUUUUUACUAUGGGCUUAUAAUCAGUUGCACAGGGGCCCACAUUUUAAAUACAGCCUUCUGUUAGUGUUCACAGGGGCUUGGGUGUCUCGACUUUCUGAUUAUUCUAAAGAGAACUACUGUGAUCAUUUGUGUAUACAUCUUCCUGGAGAUAUGUGUCCUCAUUUUCCUUAGCUAGAGCCCUAGAAGUGGAUAACGGGCAGUUCCAUAUUUAAUGUUAUAAGAAAAUGGCAGUUUUCCAAAGAAACUGUAGCGUCUCACACAACAGCCAGGGUUUUGUUUGUUUUGAAUUAUAAUCAGCAUGAAAUGGA